GCGGGUGUGGCGGAAUUGGCAGACGCGCGAGGUUUAGGUCCUCGUGUCCGAAAGGGCUUGCAGGUUCGACUCCUGUCACCCGCA
rnacentral:tRNA from 1 species